rnacentral:rRNA from 1 species
GAUGAACGCUGGCGGCGUGCCUAAUACAUGCAAGUCGAGCGAACAGACGAGGAGCUUGCUCCUCUGACGUUAGCGGCGGACGGGUGAGUAACACGUGGAUAACCUACCUAUAAGACUGGGAUAACUUCGGGAAACCGGAGCUAAUACCGGAUAAUAUAUUGAACCGCAUGGUUCAAUAGUGAAAGACGGUUUUGCUGUCACUUAUAGAUGGAUCCGCGCCGCAUUAGCUAGUUGGUAAGGUAACGGCUUACCAAGGCGACGAUGCGUAGCCGACCUGAGAGGGUGCUCGGCCACGCUGGACCUGAGACACGGUCCAGACUCCUACGGGAGGCAGCAGUAGGGAAUCUUCCGCAAUGGGCGAACGCCUGACGGAGCAACGCCGCGUGAGUGAUGAAGGUCUUCGGAUCGUAAACCUCUGUUAUUAGGGAAGAACAAAUGUGUAAGUAACUAUGCACGUCUUGACGGUACCUAAUCAGAAAGCCCCGGCUACCUCCG